GGUCUUCCCUUUUUCUUUCUAAAUUAUUAUUCCUAUUAUCUACCAUUGCAGAGUGUUGAUAUUUCGUUGAAAGAUGUUUAAAGGCAAUACAGCUGCUUUGCUUUGUCAUUUAAAAUGUGUGUGGUGGGGGGUUAGAUUCCUUUUUUCUCUCCAUGAGGUUCAGGAUAUCCUCCUUUUCUAAAUCAAAUUUUCAUGCUUAUUCAUCAGGCCACUGAUCUAAGUCAUCUUUGCUUAUUGAGGGAGAAAUACCAAGCACUGUCAUCAAAUAAAAUGAAAACCGACAGGAUAAAAUACUGUUUCAAAUGCAACUAAAACCAGUUUAGUUGAUGAGCUUUUACUCCUCAUAUUAUAGUCCUAGACAGCUCUGAUGUUAGGUGAUAUAAAUAAUAAUUUAGAAAGAAAAAAAAAGAGCCCUUAAUAAAACAGACAAGGGACAAAUGAAAUAUUUUUAAAAUAAUCUAUGCAUAAGAUGCAGAAAACCCAUCCCAGAUGGAAAAUGUCACAGAUGUGAGUCUUCUUUGCUUUGUCCCAGGCAGACAAGUGCAAAAAAGUAGAGAAGCAAAGGCAGAUUAAAAACAAACAAGCAAACAAAAAACAUUGUUUUGUUUUUAAAGAUGAUUAAAAAAAGAAAAAAAGCCUCAGUCCAGGGCAGGGAUGUAGCUGAGUGGUAGAGCACUUCCCUAGCAUGCUGGAGACCCUGGGUUAAAUCCCCCACACAAUAAAAAGAAAGAAAGGAAGGAAAAGAGAGAAACACACACACACACAUCUCAGUUCAAUUUAUUACAAAAGAUAAGAAUUUGCUAUUUGUGAGAUGUCUGCUGUAGUUUUCCAUGCCUUGCCUGAUACAGUAUGCUCUGAUUUUAAGGAGUUAAGUAAUAAAAAGGAAUAGAUCAGGAAAAGUAAGUUCACAUGGGAAGGGGCUAAAUUGUCUGUUUUAGGCUUUAUGACAAGUAUAGUAACUUUGGUUUCCAUUCUGUCUUGGAUCAAUUUAAUUUUCUUUCCAAGCAAUACCUUCCAGACCCAACUCCCAAAGGCAUUUACUGGUAUCUUCUUUGGAACUAAGUUAAGG
rnacentral:lncRNA from 1 species